AUAGCGACGAAGCCACUCGCUACACUCGACGAGGGCCAGCACGGUCUCGGCAUCGCGCGCCUCGGCUUCAAAGUGACGCGUCCACUCGCGCAGCGCGCUCCUUUGACCGCGGGUGGCGUCUCCCGCGUCGGCCGGUGCUCGGGCCUUUUUCUUGCUCUUGCGGUCGUUGGCUUCGUUCCUGCCGGCGCCGCUGCCGUGCUCGCGCCUGUGCGCCCGUUGAGGCGACGCCGAGCGCCGGCGAUCCUUGUCCUUUUGCCUUUUUCUCCUUUGGCUGUGGCCCUUUCCCUCUUUCUCCUUUCUGGCCUUUUGCCUGUUUUUGGUUUUAGAAGAUGCCGCUAGCGGCGCCUCCCACGGCAGGCCCAUGACAAU
rnacentral:lncRNA from 1 species